rfam:Canis lupus familiaris chromosome 29, whole genome shotgun sequence.
CGGGGGAGGCUGGAUCCUGGGCUGUGUCCCGGCGCCCUGUGCUCCGGGGCCUGCGCUGUUGGAAUAGCGCUCCCGCCCCGCAGCCCCCU